GAAUAGGAGAGCAAGACCUGGUCUACACUAUGUGUUUAUGUUGGAUUUGGCAGCGUUACAUCGAAUUAAUCCUGCACCCGUCCACACAACAAAGCCAUUUUUUGAGACAUAAAGGGCUCUUAAAACCGAUUUCUGUACUCCUCCCCAAGGAGGGGAUUAGCGCUGAAAUCGACAUUGCCAUUUCCAAU